AGUGAACGCUGGCGGUAGGCCUAACACAUGCAAGUCGAACGGCAGCACAGUAAGAGCUUGCUCUUACGGGUGGCGAGUGGCGGACGGGUGAGGAAUACAUCGGAAUCUACUUUUUCGUGGGGGAUAACGUAGGGAAACUUACGCUAAUACCGCAUACGACCUACGGGUGAAAGCGGGGGAUCUUCGGACCUUGCGCGAUUGAAUGAGCCGAUGUCGGAUUAGCUAGUUGGCGGGGUAAAGGCCCACCAAGGCGACGAUCCGUAGCUGGUCUGAGAGGAUGAUAGGCCACACUGGAACGGAGACACGGUCCAGACUCCUACGGGAGGCAGCAGUGGGGAAUAUUGGACAAUGGGCGCAAGCCUGAUCCAGCCAUACCGCGUGGGUGAAGAAGGCCUUCGGGUUGUAAAGCCCUUUUGUUGGGAAAGAAAAGCAGCAGGUUAAUACCCCGCUGUUCUGACGGUACCCAAAGAAUAAGCACCGGCUAACUUCGUG
rnacentral:rRNA from 1 species